GGCUCAGGACGAACGCUGGCGGCACGCUUAACACAUGCAAGUCGAACGGAGAAUAUUUGGUUACUAAGUAUUCUUAGUGGCGGACGGGUGAGUAACACGUGAGCAACCUACCUUUGAGAGAGGGAUAGCUUCUGGAAACGGAUGGUAAUACCUCAUGACAUAUACUUAAGGCAUCUUAGGUAUAUCAAAGAUUUAUCACUCAGAGAUGGGCUCGCGUCUGAUUAGCUAGAUGGUGAGGUAACGGCUCACCAUGGCGACGAUCAGUAGCCGGACUGAGAGGUUGAACGGCCACAUUGGGACUGAGACACGGCCCAGACUCCUACGGGAGGCAGCAGUGGGGAAUAUUGCACAAUGGGGGAAACCCUGAUGCAGCGAUGCCGCGUGGAGGAAGAAGGUUUUCGGAUUGUAAACUCCUGUCUUAAAGGACGAUAAUGACGGUACUUUAGGAGGAAGCUCCGGCUAACUACGUGCCAGCCGCGGC
rnacentral:rRNA from 1 species